rnacentral:rRNA from 1 species
AGAGUUUGAUCAUGGCUCAGAUUGAACGCUGGCGGCAGGCCUAACACAUGCAAGUCGAGCGGUAGCACAGAGAGCUUGCUCUCGGGUGACGAGCGGCGGACGGGUGAGUAAUGUCUGGGAAACUGCCUGAUGGAGGGGGAUAACUACUGGAAACGGUAGCUAAUACCGCAUAAUGUCGCAAGACCAAAGUGGGGGACCUUCGGGCCUCAUGCCAUCAGAUGUGCCCAGAUGGGAUUAGCUAGUAGGUGGGGUAACGGCUCACCUAGGCGACGAUCGCUAGCUGGUCUGAGAGGAUGACCAGCCACACUGGAACUGAGACACGGUCCAGACUCCUACGGGAGGCAGCAGUGGGGAAUAUUGCACAAUGGGCGCAAGCCUGAUGCAGCCAUGCCGCGUGUGUGAAGAAGGCCUUCGGGUUGUAAAGCACUUUCAGCGGGGAGGAAGGCGAUAAGGUUAAUAACCUUGUCGAUUGACGUUACCCGCAGAAGAAGCACCGGCUAACUCCGUGCCAGCAGCCGCGGUAAUACGGAGGGUGCAAGCGUUAAUCGGAAUUACUGGGCGUAAAGCGCACGCAGGCGGUCUGUCAAGUCGGAUGUGAAAUCCCCGGGCUCAACCUGGGAACUGCAUUCGAAACUGGCAGGCUAGAGUCUUGUAGAGGGGGGUAGAAUUCCAGGUGUAGCGGUGAAAUGCGUAGAGAUCUGGAGGAAUACCGGUGGCGAAGGCGGCCCCCUGGACAAAGACUGACGCUCAGGUGCGAAAGCGUGGGGAGCAAACAGGAUUAGAUACCCUGGUAGUCCACGCCGUAAACGAUGUCGAUUUGGAGGUUGUGCCCUUGAGGCGUGGCUUCCGGAGCUAACGCGUUAAAUCGACCGCCUGGGGAGUACGGCCGCAAGGUUAAAACUCAAAUGAAUUGACGGGGGCCCGCACAAGCGGUGGAGCAUGUGGUUUAAUUCGAUGCAACGCGAAGAACCUUACCUGGUCUUGACAUCCACAGAACUUUCCAGAGAUGGAUUGGUGCCUUCGGGAACUGUGAGACAGGUGCUGCAUGGCUGUCGUCAGCUCGUGUUGUGAAAUGUUGGGUUAAGUCCCGCAACGAGCGCAACCCUUAUCCUUUGUUGCCAGCGGUNGGCCGGGAACUCAAAGGAGACUGCCAGUGAUAAACUGGAGGAAGGUGGGGAUGACGUCAAGUCAUCAUGGCCCUUACGACCAGGGCUACACACGUGCUACAAUGGCAUAUACAAAGAGAAGCGACCUCGCGAGAGCAAGCGGACCUCAUAAAGUAUGUCGUAGUCCGGAUUGGAGUCUGCAACUCGACUCCAUGAAGUCGGAAUCGCUAGUAAUCGUAGAUCAGAAUGCUACGGUGAAUACGUUCCCGGGCCUUGUACACACCGCCCGUCACACCAUGGGAGUGGGUUGCAAAAGAAGUAGGUAGCUUAACCUUCGGGAGGGCGCUUACCACUUUGUGAUUCAUGACUGGGGUGAAGUCGUAACAAGGUAACCGUAGGGGAACCUGCGGUUGGAUCACCU